rnacentral:rRNA from 1 species
GACGAACGCUGGCGGCGUGCUUAACACAUGCAAGUCGAACGGAAAGGCCCUGCUUGCAGGGUACUCGAGUGGCGAACGGGUGAGUAACACGUGGGUGAUCUGCCCUGCACUUCGGGAUAAGCCUGGGAAACUGGGUCUAAUACCGGAUAGGAGCCAUUUUUAGUGUGAUGGUUGGAAAGUUUUUUCGGUGUAGGAUGAGCUCGCGGCCUAUCAGCUUGUUGGUGGGGUAAUGGCCUACCAAGGCGGCGACGGGUAGCCGGCCUGAGAGGGUGGACGGCCACAUUGGGACUGAGAUACGGCCCAGACUCCUAAGGGGGGCAGAAGUGGGGAAUAUUGCACAGUGGGCGAAAGCCUGAUGCAGCGAGGCGGCGUGGGGAAUGACGGCUUUCGGGUUGAAUCCUCCUUGCGCGAGGGACGAAGCUUUUUGAAAUGGAACCUAGAUAAGAAACACCGGCAAGCUACGUG